GCGGGUAUCGGGAGGAACUAAGCCAUGCGAGUCAUUGUAGCAAUACAAGGCAGACGGCUCAGUAACGCGUAGUCAACCUAACCUAUGGACGGGAAUAAUCUCGGGAAACUGAGAAUAAUGCCCGAUAGAACACUAUAUCUGGAAUGGUUUGUGUUCCAAAUGAUUUAUCGCCAUAGGAUGGGACUGCGGCCUAUCAGUUUGUUGGUGAGGUAAUGGCCCACCAAGACUAUUACAGGUACGGGCUCUGAGAGGAGUAGCCCGGAGAUGGGUACUGAGACACGGACCCAGGCCCUAUGGGGCGCAGCAGGCGAGAAAACUUUGCAAUGUGCGAAAGCACGACAAGGUUAAUCCGAGUGGUUCCUGCUAAAGGAACCUUUUGUCGGUCCUAGAAACACCGAUGAAUAAGGGGUGGGCAAGUUCUGGUGUCAGCCGCCGCGGUAAAACCAGCACCUCAAGUGGUCAGGAUGAUUAUUGGGCCUAAAGCAUCCGUAGCCGGCUCUGUAAGUUUUCGGUUAAAUCUGUACGCUUAACGUACAGGCUGCCGGGAAUACUGCAUAGCUAGGGAGUGGGAGAGGUAGACGGUACUCGGUAGGAAGGGGUAAAAUCCUUUGAUCUAUUGAUGACCACCUGUGGCGAAGGCGGUCUACCAGAACACGUCCGACGGUGAGGGAUGAAAGCUGGGGGAGCAAACCGGAUUAGAUACCCGGGUAGUCCCAGCUGUAAACUAUGCAAACUCAGUGAUGCAUUGGCUUGUGGCCAAUGCAGUGCUGCAGGGAAGCCGUUAAGUUUGCCGCCUGGGGAAGUACGUACGCAAGUAUGAAACUUAAAGGAAUUGGCGGGGGAGCACCACAAGGGGUGAAGCCUGCGGUUCAAUUGGAGUCAACGCCGGG
rnacentral:rRNA from 1 species